UAGCGGACGACGAUAACAGAGUACGUUCAUCGUGUUUUCUUCCUUGCACAAUCGCAGGGGCCGUAGUAAUUUUGUUUGAGAAUGAAUCGCAGGGGCGAGCGCACAGCCGCACGACAUCAUCCACCGUGAGAUACUGGGCCUGGCCCAGCUCGUGGGCAGCAUGACCAUCACUGCAGAAGCCCCCGGCAAGCGCACAACGCCCACGUCCCCUUUUUCCCAUCGUGGAUGCCUACAGCCCACACGAAAAUUAGUCGUGAAUCACGGCAACGCCAUCGCCGUCAUCAGGAUAUCGCCCAUGGCAGCGGCGACGGGGAAGGAGCACACCGGGAGGCUCCUCAUCAGAUUCCGGGCUUAGAAGAUGGUUCUAAUGCUUCAUCAAAGAACAAUCUUUUUUAUCGAGGACAUUUAUAAGGAAGCGCUGGAUGUGUUUAUGAUGGCUGAGACCUCGAGACUGACGAUGACGCCACCGAGUACGACUACACCCCAGACGUUCACCCACUUGCAGCAGAGCUUCUAGGCAAGCAAAAAAAAACUAUCAUUCCUCUGAGUUCACCUUGAUGGUAAGGACACACUGAUACCUUUAACUGUUACCCAAAUAACUGUUAUUGCGGGACUGAAGGGACAGGUGGGACAGCCCCGAUAGAGGUGGACCUGAGUUCCCUACUGUCUUUGGAUAAGUCAGGUUAACCAUGAGGGUACCCGCGAGAUAAUGACGAGGCACGACCGGUUAGGCAGAGACCGCCCCAGAGAGGGAUGGGCCUGGCCCUUAUCGUAAGUCCGCGAGACGGGGUGAUAGGAUCAUUGAUCGUUUCCGUGAGCUCCCAAUACACUAACGGGUUUGGAUAUGUGAUCUGAGUAGGCCUCUGGCCUUUUUGCACUAACCACCGCGCGGGAAUAAGUAUGGGCACUCGGCGUCGUACAAUUCUUCCGAAAGCUCAUUGACGUUAGCAGUUGAGUGGCGUGCGCCCUGUUGGAUGGUAACCACCACCGCUUGUUGAGGUGGGUCUGCUCCAUGUUGCGUUCGCAACACGCGGGAGUGCAAAGGACGAUUGGCCCAUGACCCCUUCGCACUUAGGAUUUAGACCGACGUGUUGGCCUCUCUAUUGAGCCUAGGUAGGACUAUUAUGUGUCGAUCAGCCGAGGCCGGGUGUAACGCCCUGAGACAGAUGCACCAGGUGUCUUCCAGUUAUUCGCCGUCGUAGCCAUGUCAUUUUCUUGCGUCUUGCACUUUGCCAUGUCAUCAUGUGCAUUUCAUCUGCAUGUUUUCAAAACUUGCGUCCGUCCGGGUCUUCCAGUUUUCUCCGUUAUCCGUUUCGGAAUCCGACACUCUCCACGCGGGAGAAAAACGUUCUCGGAAUGGGCCGAGAAUUGACGAGCGGCCUUGGUAUACCACCGGUAGACCGCCUGUCAAAUUCCAUUCCAUUUGGGGGUCGUUUGAUGCCCCAACGGUUAACGGCGUGAACCGUCGGACCCCUCUCUCCUUAUAGCCCAACACCCCUCCACAGCAGGCCACUAGCCCAUCUAAACCCACUCCAUGCUCUUCACCGUUGGAUCACGAUCGUGUGGGCGAAAACCGCACCUCAAUAGCCCUCUCCUAGCUCCCUCUACCUAUAAAUAAGCCUCCCCCUCCUCAAAUCCGGAUGAAACCCUAGAUCUCUCCCCUCCACCCUGUCGGACGCGUCCGCGCCGCCGGCCGCACCAAUCCGCCACCGCCACGUGUCUCCGUCGCCUCCCACCAUCACUGGCCCGCGGGGCCCGGGUUGGGCCCUUCCGGUCCAACCGUCGCCGCCACCACCCGCGGGCACCCCGCGCCUCCCUGCUCCGCCCCGCGCCGGACUCUGCUGCCGCACGCCACCCGUCGGCUCUCACCGUCCGCCGCUGCCUCGUCCCCAUCGGAGCACGCUGCCAUCGCUGGCGCCAACUGCGCCCCGCACCUCCGGUGUUGGAAA